GGAUGUCCCUUCCCAACUCCAGGUCUCAGUUCUUAUAUUGUGAAAUGGAGGAAAGGGAUCAAUGGCUGAAAAAGGGACAUCCUCAAGGUCAUAUGCCUAGCAGGGGGUAGAGGUGAGCCUAGAACCCAACUUUUCUGACUUCAGGCUAGGUCACAGGAAGGUGAGGUGAGGGUGGAAAUGGGUGCGUUCUGAGGUGAUCUGACCUCUCAUGUCUUACACAUCCUCCCCAGGCCAUCAACUCCACCCUCCUGAAGCAUGAACAGACGCUGGAGACCUUCAAACUAUUGAACUCAACGAACAGGGAAGAUGAAGACACACCCCCUAACUCUCCAAACGUGGAUCUUGGGAAGCGAGCGCCUACGCCCAUCCGAGAAAAGGAAGUCACCAUGUGCAUGCGCUGUCAGGAGCCCUUCAAUUCCAUCACCAAACGCAGGCACCACUGCAAGGCCUGCGGGCAUGUGGUUUGUGGGAAGUGCUCUGAGUUCCGGGCCCGCCUCAUCUAUGACAACAACCGCUCCAACCGUGUGUGCACUGACUGCUAUGUGGCCUUGCACGGAGUGCCCGGGAGCAGUCCAGCCUGCAGCCAGCAUACACCCCAGCGCCGGAGGUCCAUCCUGGAGGUAAGAGCCAGGCCCCCAACUAACCUCCCACACUGACUACAUGGGCCCCAGCCACCCACCCAGUGUGCUUGAGGCCUGGGCAUCUCUGAAACUGUAGGGUGCCAUGUACAUCCACUGAACAAGUGACCCAGGCUUGGAGUGAGCAAAUGAGUGCAAGAGUGAAUGAAAAGAAUUUUUUUUUUUUUUGAGGAAGAUUAGCCCUGAGCUAACAUCUGCUGCCAAUCCUCCU
rnacentral:lncRNA from 1 species